rnacentral:rRNA from 1 species
GUGUCAGCAGCCGCGGUAAUACGUAGGGGGCAAGCGUUAUCCGGAUUUACUGGGCGUAAAGCGCGUUAAGGCGGCAGGCCAAGUUAGGGGUGAAAUUUCAGGGCUCAACCCUGAAACUGCCUCUAAUACUGGUCAGCUGGAGUGUGAGAGAGGAAGGUGGAAUUCCCGGUGUAGUAGUGAAAUGCGUAGAUAUCGGGAGGAACACCAGUGGCGAAGGCGGCCUUCUGGCUCACAACUGACGCUGUAGCGCGAAAGCGUGGGGAGCGAACAGGAUUAGAUACCCCCGUAGUCC